UGCGUAGGCGGAUUAAUAAGUCAGAGGUGAAAUCCUGCAGCUCAACUGUAGAAUUGCCUUUGAUACUGGUUAUCUUGAGUCAUUAUGAAGUGGUUAGAAUGUGUAGUGUAGCGGUGAAAUGCAUAGAUAUUACACAGAAUACCGAUUGCGAAGGCAGAUCACUAAUAAUGUACUGACACUGAGGGACGAAAGCGUGGGGAGCGAACAGGAUUAGAUACCCUGGUAGUCC
rnacentral:rRNA from 1 species